GUGAGCCUCACAGAGUGGUUCCUAGAGCCUGAGAGCUGCCCAUAACCAGCUUGGGGGGCACCAGACAAUGCAAGCAAAAUGUCCAUCUUCGGGAAACACAGCUAAAGUCCAAUGCCUAGGUCCUGUGCCUCUCAGAUACUGAUUUAUGUCAAAACACCUCUUGGGAAGUCCCUCAACUGUUCUGUGCACAUUCCUCUGCCAGAGACCCCGCCACCCACUAGCUGACCUAUUGGGGAACAGAGGAGAGACAGGCCAUCAAGGUCAGCCUCCUUAUUCCAAGUGUCCCACAGGAAGAGUAAGUUGAGAAGAUGACAGAUGAAAUGUGGACGAGUUGACCUCAGGGCUCAGUUUGCAUUUUCCCUCCUUCAAAAAUGCCAUAGUCCUCCCAGUAGGAUUGGAAAUUGGCAGGUGUCUAGUAAGCAUCUGGUCCAAUCAAAUAUCUCAUUUUAUGGCUUCCUCUCAUUGGUCCUUAACUAAGAAUUUCCUUGACAACCAUUAAUAACAUUGAGCUCCCUCAGCUUGGCAGAAUAUUGUGUCUAGGGGAAAAUCCUCCUUCACCCCCAAGGACAGUGGCCACAGCCAAGCUUCUGUCAUGCAGGCAGAACCUGAAGGGCAGAGCCACACAGGACAUCCACCAGAACACUACAGGCCAUUCCUGAAGUAGGGUUCCCUCUCAGGGCUCUGGUCAUUAGAUCGCCACCUGCGUGUGUUAUCAUCCUCGUUGCCUCCCCUUCCCACUGCUCUGUGCCCUUGUGAACUGUCUAUUCCUAGCAAGGCUAUCAUGCUCCAGAUCAUUUUGUCUUUGCUAGGCUUUUGCUUAGGGUUGUCUUUCCAUCAUUAGCACCCUGUGUAUAUUUCACCCACCAUUCCCACAGGGCCACCUGAUGCUGUCACAGGACAUCCUCUUCUCUGAUUUGCUUACCAAUCACUUUCCUAGAUGGUAGGCCUUUGCACACAGUAGCCAUAGUUCCUGACUUUGAGGGCAGAAAGGAAGCUGCAGGGAUAUUUAACUCCAAAGUGGGAAGGGACUCUAGCAAGUCCAAUGGCUGCAAAGUAAAAAUCAACAUUCUCUCAGAUUAUAGCUUGUUCACUGAGUACAGAAUAAAGGAGACUUAUUUUA
rnacentral:lncRNA from 1 species